UACAGAGAGUGCAAACGUUGUUCGGAAUUACUGGGCUUGAAGCGCACGUAGGCGGCGUUGUAAGUGUCGGGUGAAAUCCCACGGCUCACCCGUGGAACUGCCCGGCAUACUGCGAUGCUAGAGUGUGGUAGGGGAGAGCGGAACUCCUGGUGGAGCGGUGAAAUGCGUAGAUAUCAGGAGGAACACCCAUGGCGAAGGCAGGUUACUGGGCAUUAUCUGACGCUGAGGCGCGAAAGCGUGGGUAGCAAACAGG
rnacentral:rRNA from 1 species